rnacentral:lncRNA from 1 species
UAAAUUCUGAGGUUGCUUGACAUACAGUAAAACUUCAUUUGGGCCUAGUUGGUACAUAAUUCUGAACAUAAACUUACAGCGCAAACACCUAAGACGAACCACAAAA